rnacentral:lncRNA from 1 species
AAGACACCAGAGCCUUAGGCAGGGCUCCCCCCAGUCUUGCCACACUGUCCAUCUCAGCUGGGAUUGGGAUUGGGGGCUAUUGAUCUCUGAGUCCUCAAUGAAGGAGUGGAAUUUGAUUUCCUAAGAAAAGACAAAAAAUAGCUGGUUCAUCACUGCAACAAGCUGAUCACCAUCGGGACCCCUGGUCUUUUCUACUUUUUCUAACUGCCCUCUCCCUGCAGGAAAAAAAGCCAAUCUUCUCAAGAAUCUUACUUCUCCGCAGAGGCUCUGGCCACAUUCAGACACCAGUUCCUGAGAGAUCUGUGCAGGAGAGCCCAGCUUCUCAGCACUGUCUGUAGAUCCUCAGCUCUGAGAGCUCGGCUGCCUUCCAUUGGACAACAUCUGGUAGCAGGAAGAGCUGAAGCAGCACUUGGUAUCCAGGCAGUGUGGGACAGGGUUCAGAGACAGCGAAAGGUGGUCUGCUACCAUCAGCUUGGCAUCUCUGAGCUCCAAAGGGAGGAAUCCGAUUGAGAUCUUCAAGUGCAGUUCUCUCUCUGUGCCCAGUGUUUGUCUGUGGGAGUCUGCAUCUAGAGCCCUCUGAAAGGUAUCAAUCGGCCACUCCAAACACCAUCCAAUAAGAAAUACAAGAAGCACUCUGAAGAAGUCGUUGCUCCUAGACAUACCCAGACAUCCAUUUCAGCCAAAAUAAUUGAAAAAGACCCAUGAAGAGAGAAGAUGGAUGAAGAGCAAUACCAAAAGAGUUCAAAAUCACCUCAAAAGAUGCUAAAGACAGUUGAAUUCAAGAAAAAGAAACACGUUAGGUUUCUGUUACCCCACAAAGCUGACAAGGAAAAGAAACCCUCUUCCCCAGGAGAUACAGAUGAGUCAAAGUUCAGAUGUGAAUGCCACCACUGCCAGAUGUGUGGGGGGAACACAUCUGGGAUCUCUGAGGGAACUGGGACAGAAGCAGUCUCUCCAUCAUCCUCCUGGUAAAAGCUAACACUAGACCUCAGUAACUUGACACUCAACCUUCAUACCACCCAACCCCAUCUUGUACAAGACACCAUAUCAAAAGGAGAGAACAAAAUUCAGUGGUCAAGGAAAAACAAAAGGAUGUUUCAAAAGGUUCUAUACAAAUGGACAGAAUGACUGUGACACUGUCAUCCUCAUGAGAAGGAAGAUCCAAACCUACAGGAUCAUGAGUGUCAACAUCUUUUGGGGAGCAUGGUCAGGAGGAGUAAUGUCCAACCGAGUGAUAAUAAUACAGCCAGAUCGUGAUUCUAAUCUAUUCCACAAAUAUAGCCAUCUUUUCCUUGGUAGUUUAGGCAUCUUCCCUGAGGCAUUCUGAGAAGAGAUGCUCCUCAGCAAGGAUGACCAGAUUGUGAUUUUUCUAUACUCCCCAUGUCAGUGUUCCCAUAGGGCUUGCUACCAUUUUUCCCCUCCUUGUUGCC